AGAUGUUCCUGCGUUGCAGUAGGUCCACACUGCCGGGGAGAGGUGGCAAGAGACAAAUCAACUCUAGUGGAAACGGGAAGCGAGUGGGAACAACAGCCUCACAGCAAGACCGGGGCUCAGCAGCCGCGCUCUUGGCCUGCGUUUGGUGGACCGGAAUCCGGGUUGUGUGUUUCAUUUUCUUUUUUGCCAGAAAAUAUCAUUAGGAACUAAACGGCUCUUUUUAAGAGUGUGAAAGUGUUACUCUUGCCAGUCACCAAUGAGGAGGGCGCCAAAAGCUUCCCAGAGCCAGUUCCCACAGCCAGGACUAUUCUCUAAAGCCAGAGGUCGGAAAGUUGAACAGAACGGAAGCAAAUUGCCUGGCAGAGGGAAGAGGCAUCGGGUGCCCAGGGGGUGUAGAGCGGGCGGGGGUGAUUGGAGUGUGAAACGAAUUGGUGGCCAGGGUGCCUUCUCUUGCACUUACACUAGCUGCAGUCCGCAGUUACCCAGAGGUGGUUCAACUGUUAGCUCACUCUGUGCCAGGGACAGCAUGUGGUACUGCUAUCAGCGUGCACAUUUUCAGGACACCAAAGACAAACUGUUCAAAAGAACAUUAGAAGAAAAGAUUCAAUUCGAGUAAAAGUAGAGAUAAGAAAAUCUCCACACAGUAGUAGAAAGUACUUUUUACUUUUGAAUGAUCAUUCAGAAUUGUGGUUUUGUCAUUUUCUGCCAUUCCCUUGACAAAAACUUUAUUUUGCAAUUGACUCAUUGGACUGAAUCUCACUGAGGAUCUGAUGGAAACACACAGCGUUCAAUUGGAAUAAACAGCUUAAACUGUUGUGUGUUUUUUUAAAUGUAGAUCCUCCUAGAAUUUUUGUGGCACUAGAAUUUCUAUAAAGAUUAUGUAUCCCAGAUACCCUUCUACACCACACACACACACACACACACACACACACACACGCACUGCUUUCUCCAAAAUUAUGUCAGAUUUGAAAUCCUAGGGUAUCUUGUCAAAAUGAAUAAGCUCGCUGUCUUUAAAAAGAGGUGGGGGAGGGGAGAUUCAGUGGCAAAGGUGGUCCUGACUCCCCUUGCUUCGCUUCAGCACCUUGGCCAACACUCCUAAACUAGCUUUUGCCAAGACAUUUCAUGGGAUCUUACACAUCUAGGCAGGCAGUUUUGGCUGCUAUUUUGGCAGCAAGAACGCAUGUGCUUUGCAUACUAUCCCAUCAGUUAACUCUUGAAGGGAAACAGGAAGGUGAUGAGUUCUCUGAGCUGGCACCUGAACUCGGUGGGAUUCUGUGGGUGUAGAGCAUCCCUUCUGAACCUAAAACCGUGUCAUUGGACUAUGUGGUAGAGACUAAUCUUAGCGUACAUUGAUGCAAUCCCUUAAGACUCUUCAUAUCUGUUGCUUCAAGUUCUCAAAACAUGGUUGUCAAGGGAGAAAAAUGAUAGGAUGUUGGGGAAAAUAUUAUGGAUAUCCGACUUCAGUACAGACUCAUAGAACCGCGGGUGUGUAUUGGAGCAAGCCAUCCUCUAUUGCAAGGUAUUUGAAAGAGACUAGAAACUCCUGCUGAGAAAAAGUAUCUUACUGCUAGAUUUGUAUAUUCCCCUUUCUGAAAUCCCUGUCUUGGGGACACAAAUCCUCCAGGACAUUGCCAAAAGAUUGCCAUAGGGUUUGAAUUCUGCUCUCUCCAAUAAGUUUAGGUUAAGAAAAAAUUCCAUAACAGACUUAAAUAAUUGCUAUCUAAAUCAGCACAAGUUCUCACUCUAGGUUGUACGGUGAGACUUCAUACCCUAAACAUGUGUUUCAGAGUGAGGCGAAUGUUGCUCCUCCUACAGAGAAUUUUUAAAUACAAUUACUUCAACUAAUGAAAGAUGUGUUAUGAACUAAACGUUUGUGUCCUUCCAAGAUUAAUAUGUCGAUGCCUUAACCCCCUAUAUGAUGCGGUUAGGAGGUGAGGCCUUUGGGAGGUAAUUAGGGGUAGAUUCGGUCAUGAGAGUGGACCUCUUAUGAUAAGAUUAGUGGCUUUAAAAGAAGAAGAAGAGAGAGAGAGAUCACCCUCUCUCUGUCAUGUGAGGACACAACAAGAAGGCGGCCAACUACGAGCCAGAAAGAGAGCUUUCACCAGGAACCCAACCAUGUUAGCACCAUGAUCUCAGACUUCAGCCUCCAGAACUGAGAAAAAUAAAUGUCUGUUGUUAAAGACACCCAGACUAUGUUAUGUUAUUAUGGCAGCCCGCACUGACUAAU
rnacentral:lncRNA from 1 species